rnacentral:rRNA from 1 species
GAUGAACGCUGGCGGCGUGCCUAAUACAUGCAAGUCGAGCGAACAGACGCGGAGCUUGCUCCUCUGACGUUAGCGGCGGACGGGUGAGUAACACGUGGAUAACCUCCCUAGAAGACUGGGAUAACUUCGGGAAACCGGAGCUAAUACCGGAUAAUAUAUUGAACCGCAUGGUUCAAUAGUGAAAGACGGUUUUGCUGCCACUUAUAGAUGGAUCCGCGCGGCAUUAGCUAGUUGGCAAGGUAACGGCUUACCAAGGCAACGAAGCGUAGCCGACCUGGGAGAGUGAUCGGCCACACUGGAACUGGGACACGGUCCAGACUCCUACGGGAGGCAGCAAUAGGGAAUCUUCCGCAAUGGGCGAAAGCCUGGCGGAGCAACGCCGCGUCAGUGAUGACGGUCUUCGGAUCGUAAAACUCUGUUAUUAGGGAAGAACAUAUUUGUAAGUAACUAUGCACGACUUGACGGUACCUGCUCAGAAAGCCACGGCUAACUACGUG